GACGUAGGGCGCGAGCGUUGUCCGGAUUUAUUGGGCGUAAAGAGCUCGUAGGCGGUUUGUCGCGUCUGCUGUGAAAACUGGAGGCUCAACCUCCAGCCUGCAGUGGGUACGGGCAAACUAGAGUGCGGUAGGGGAGAUUGGAAUUCCUGGUGUAGCGGUGGAAUGCGCAGAUAUCAGGAGGAACACCGAUGGCGAAGGCAGAUCUCUGGCCCGGUACUGACGCUGAGGUGCGAAAGCGUGGGGAGCAAACAGG
rnacentral:rRNA from 1 species